UACGUAGGGCGCAAGCGUUGUCCGGAAUUAUUGGGCGUAAAGAGCUCGUAGGCGGUGUGUCGCGUCGGCCGUGAAAACCUGCAGCUUAACUGUGGGCGUGCGGGCGAUACGGGCAGACUGGAGUACUGCAGGGGAGACUGGAAUUCCUGGUGUAGCGGUGGAAUGCGCAGAUAUCAGGAGGAACACCGGUGGCGAAGGCGGGUCUCUGGGCAGUAACUGACGCUGAGGAGCGAAAGCGUGGGGAGCGAACAGG
rnacentral:rRNA from 1 species